AAUCCAUGGUGAGGGCAGUCAGGUUCAUACUCUUUAAAACGCUCCCAGGCUUCAUAGAAAGGUUCAGCCGUCCUUUCUGGAAACUUGAGAUCUUGGUUCCCAGUAAGUUC
rnacentral:snoRNA from 1 species